rnacentral:rRNA from 1 species
UACGUAGGGGGCAAGCGUUGUCCGGAAUCAUUGGGCGUAAAGCGCGUGUAGGCGGCCAGGUAAGUCCGUUCUGAAAGCCCGGGGCUCAACCCCGGGAGGCGGAUGGAUACUGCUUGGCUCGAGUCCGGAAGAGGCGAGUGGAAUUCCCGGUGUAGCGGUGAAAUGCGUAGAGAUCAGCAGGAAUACCCGUGGCGAAGGCGGCCCCCUGGGCCGUACCUGACGCUGAGGCGCGAAGGCUAGGGGAGCGAACGGG